ensembl:lncRNA
GGGAAAUUUUGGCAACCUGUCAAAUAACUGAGAAAGAGCUGCCUACAGAGCUGGUGCCUCUCCCUUGGCAGAUCUGCAGCAGCCUUGCUCACAGCUGGGAGGUAAGUAGCAAAGUCACCAGAGGGAAAGUCUCCUCUGGGGAAGAAGAGCAUCUUUUCCACUAAGGAGCUUGCCCGCGUUCCUUUAUUGGAGUCUCCCUGGAAGAACUACCAUGCUAUUUUGGAGUGGCUGCUAGGACUGUACAUUCCUAGUGAUGCUAUCUGCAGGAGGACGGCACUGAAACAAGAAGCUGGUGGUAUAACCUGCAGACUAAUGGAUUGCUUUUGGAUGCUACUUGCAUAGCAACACCUCAGACUAUAGCAGCCACAUGGUAACAGUCAAAGAGGAUGUGUCUAGGCCCUCUUACAUCUCCGGAGUUAGAAGGUCACAAUCAUAGCUGGUUUCUGCUUUUUUUUGGAUCUACGGUUAAGCUGCAUUUGAGAAAACUACUGCAACCGUGACAGUUUUGCAUGUGGAUGAUUUGCUUUUGUGCUCUUGCAGCACAGGCUCUCAUCAGUAGAUUACUGGGCAUCAUUUCCAUCCCAAGCCAUAUGAGGUUGUUGUGCAUGAUGAACGUGAAA